UACGAAGGGGGCUAGCGUUGCUCGGAAUCACUGGGCGUAAAGCGCACGUAGGCGGAUUGCUAAGUCAGGGGUGAAAUCCUGGAGCUCAACUCCAGAACUGCCUUUGAUACUGGCGACCUUGAGUCCGGGAGAGGUGAGUGGAACUGCGAGUGUAGAGGUGAAAUUCGUAGAUAUUCGCAAGAACGCCAGUGGCGAAAGCGGCAAACUUGACCCUUCCUGACGCUGAGGCGCGAAAGCUAGGGGAGCAAACGGGG
rnacentral:rRNA from 1 species